rnacentral:rRNA from 1 species
CGUAGGUAACCUGCACUGAAGUCGAGAAUAGCUUUCCGAAAGGGGAGGUAAUACUCGAUGGUCUCCGAUUAACGAGAGUUUUUCAGGGUAAAGAUUUAUCGCUUCAGGAAGGGCCUGCGUCCUAUCAGCUAGUUGGUGAGGUAUAGCUCACCAAGGCGAAGACGGGUAGCUGGCGUGAGAGCGCGGACAGCCACAAUGGAACUGAGACACGGUCCAUACUCCUGCGGGAGGCAGCAAUUAGGAAUUUUGCGCAAUGGGGGCAACCCUGACGCAGCGACGCCGCGUGGAGGAUGAAGGUCUAAGGAUCGUAAACUCCUUUUAUGUAGGAUGAAUAAAUGACAGUACUACAUGAAUAAGUGACUGCUAGCUACGUGCCAGAAGCAUCGGUGAUGCGUAGGUCAC